rnacentral:rRNA from 1 species
UGGCCAGACUCCUACGGGAGGCAGCAGUGGGGAAUAUUGGGCAAUGGGGGAAACCCUGACCCAGCGACGCCGCGUGAGGGAAGAAGGUUUUCGGAUUGUAAACCUCUGUCCUUGGUGACGAUAAUGACGGUAGCCAAGGAGGAAGCCACGGCUAACUACGUGCCAGCAGCCGCGGUAAUACGUAGGUGGCGAGCGUUAUCCGGAUUUACUGGGUGUAAAGGGGGCGCAGACGGCGAUGCAAGCCAGGAGUGAAAGCCCGGGGCCCAACCCCGGGACUGCUCUUGGAACUGCGUGGCUGGAGUGCAGGAGGGGCAGGCGGAAUUCCUGGUGUAGCGGUGAAAUGCGUAGAUAUUAAGAGGAACACCAGUGGCGAAGGCGGCUUACUGGACUGUAACUGACGUUGAGGCUCGAAAGCGUGGGGAGCAAACAGGAUUAGAUACCCGAGUA